GCCCCUGUAGCUCAGUGGAUAGAGCAGCGGCCUUCUAAUCCGACGGUCGGGGGUUCGACUCCCUCCAGGGGCACCC
rnacentral:tRNA from 1 species